AGUGAACGCUGGCGGUAGGCCUAACACAUGCAAGUCGAACGGCAGCACAGUAAGAGCUUGCUCUUACGGGUGGCGAGUGGCGGACGGGUGAGGAAUACAUCGGAAUCUACUUUUUCGUGGGGGAUAACGUAGGGAAACUUACGCUAAUACCGCAUACGACCUACGGGUAAAAGCGGGGGAUCUUCGGACCUUGCGCGAUUGAAUGAGCCGAUGUCGGAUUAGCUAGUUGGCGGGGUAAAGGCCCACCAAGGCGACGAUCCGUAGCUGGUCUGAGAGGAUGAUCAGCCACACUGGAACUGAGACACGGUCCAGACUCCUACGGGAGGCAGCAGUGGGGAAUAUUGGACAAUGGGCGCAAGCCUGAUCCAGCCAUACCGCGUGGGUGAAGAAGGCCUUCGGGUUGUAAAGCCCUUUUGUUGGGAAAGAAAAGCAGCAGGUUAAUACCCCGCUGUUCUGACGGUACCCAAAGAAUAAGCACCGGCUAACUUCGUG
rnacentral:rRNA from 1 species